AUGGCAGGCGACGGCGGUAGCGGUGCCAGGCCCCGGACGCAAGCUGCAAGAGGGCGGCGGCAGACGGCGGCGUCUGUGCCGUUGGACGUGCUGGUGGACAUCGCGGCGCGCACCGACCCGGCCACUCUAGUGCGCUGCGCCGCGACGUGCGUGGACAUGCGCCGCCGCGUCAAGGAUUACACUGGCAUCGGUGGCCGCCUCCACCUCCGGCACAGCGACCGGUUCGUGCUCCCCCUUCUGCGAGGCCACCUGAUCCACACGUACAAGUAUGGGGACAUGCGACGCAAGGACCACUUGUCCCUGGUGGACACUACUGCUGCGGACACCACCACACGGCGCAGGGUCACCGGCGUCCGCGGCUUCCCCCUCGCGUCGAGCAAUGGCCUCGUUCUCACCCGCGUGGCCCGAGAGCUUUGCGUGUGGGAUCCGGCCACCAGCCGCAGCCAGAGCCUGCCAUCUGCAUCGACUUUCCCUGUGGAUGUGGUGGCUACACGACAAGACGACGAUACGACAAAUUAUGUCUUGCUCGUGGGUGACGAUGAUGAUGAGGGUGCGACCGUCGUCGGCCGGCAAUUCCUUGUGGUCAUGGCAUACCUAGAGCUGUCACAGCACUGCCGCAACUUGCACUUUCAAAUCUUCUCAUCCGAGCAUGGCGCAUGGGGCCGCUACAACAAGAUCCGAGUUCAUAAACUGCAAGGCAGCAAGUUGCAACGACCACUCGCCAGGGCCCUAGUCGUUGGCGACGAUGCACACUGGUUGUGCUUGACCGACAAAGGGGACUAUGUUCUCAAGCUCCAUGUUAGGUUUAUGGAACAAGUCACGGUGACGAUGCUCCCGGAGAGCUUCCCCCGCGGCGGGUGGUGCCACCAACUCCUGGCGACUUCGUCGGCAGGCGGGUGCCCGAUUGUGCUCGUCANNNNNNNNNNGGAUGGCGACAAGAUAUCUGCGUGGGCGCAAUCAAAGCAAACGGGCAAGUGGCAGCGACGACCACGGGCGGUGAUCGAGACAGAGACAAUCUUGCAGUUCCUAGAUGAGGCGGGCGGAAGCAGGCCGCCGCGGAGCCUGUGGGAAGUCAAGCAUGAAAUAAAACUAUUGUGGUUCGCCGAAAGGAGUGGCACCGUUCUCAUUAAGGUGCUCAUCAACAUGUCAACUGUCGGAUAUUUCUGGCUCAAUCUGCAGUCCAUGAAGAUCGUGAGGUGGUUCUCAGAUCGUGGGGAAGAGUACCCGACCGGGAAUAUGCCCUAUGAGAUGAAUUUGGCGUCUUGGGUUCCAACAUUCAGUAGCACUUUGUGA
rnacentral:rRNA from 1 species